UACGUAGGGGGCGAGCGUUGUCCGGAUUUAUUGGGCGUAAAGAGCGUGUAGGCGGCCAGGUAGGUCUGCUGUGAAAACUCGAGGCUCAACCUCGAGACGUCGGUUGAAACCACCUGGCUAGAGUCCGGAAGAGGAGAGUGGAAUUCCUGGUGUAGCGGUGAAAUGCGCAGAUAUCAGGAAGAACACCCGUGGCGAAGGCGGCUCUCUGGGACGGUACUGACGCUGAGACGCGAAAGCGUGGGGAGCGAACAGG
rnacentral:rRNA from 1 species